UUGAGUGCCUAUGCUACCCUCCAGCACCUCGACUUCUUGGCACUGACGGAAACAUGGAUUACCACAGAUAACACUGCUACUCCUACUGCUCUCUCCUCGUCUGCCCACGUGUUCUCGCAUACCCCGAGAGCAUCUGGCCAGCGGGGUGGUGGCACUGGAAUCCUCAUCUCUCCCAAGUGGACAUUCUCUCGUUCUCCCCUGACCCAUCUGUCUAUCUCCUCAUUUGAAUUCCAUGCUGUCACAGUUACCAGCCCUUUCAAGCUUAACAUCCUUAUCAUUUAUUGCCCUCCAGGUUCCCUUGGAGAGUUCAUCAAUGAGCUUGACGUCUUGAUAAGUUCCUUUCCUGAGGAUGGCUCACCUCUCACAGUUCUGGGUGACUUUAACCUCCCCACGUCUACCUUUGACUCAUUCCUCUCUGCCUCCUUCUUUCCACUCCUCUCCUCUUUUGACCUCACCCUCUCACCUUCCCCCCCUACUCACAAGGCAGGCAAUACGCUUGACCUCAUCUUUACUAGAUGCUGUUCGUCCACUAAUCUCAUUGCAACUCCCCUCCAAGUCUCCGACCACUACCUUGUAUCCUUUUCCCUCUCGCUCUCAUCCAACACUUCUCACUCUGCCCCUACUCGGAUGGUAUUGCGCCGUCCCAACCUUCGCUCUCUCUCUCCCGCUACUCUCUCCUCUUCCAUCCUAUCAUCUCUUCCCUCUGCUCAAACCUUCUCCAACCUAUCCCCUGAUUCUGCCUCCUCAACCCUCCUCUCCUCCCUUUCUGCAUCCUUUGAUUCUCUAUGUCCCCUAUCCUCCAGGCCGGCUCGGUCCUCCCCUCCUGCUCCGUGGCUCGACGACUCAUGGCGAGCUCACAGAACAGGGCUCCGGGCAGCCGAGCGGAAAUUGAGGAAAACUCGCCUCCCUGCGGACCUGGCGUCCUUUCACUCCCUCCUCUCUACAUUUUCCUCUUCUGUCUCUGCUGCUAAAGCCACUUUCUACCACUCUAAAUUCCAAGCAUCUGCCUCUAACCCUAGGAAGCUCUUUGCCACCUUCUCCUCCCUCCUGAAUCCUCCUCCCCCUCCCCCCCCUCCUCCCUCUCUGCGGAUGACUUCGUCAACCAUUUUGAAAAGAAGGUUGAGGACAUCCGAUCCUCGUUUGCUAAGUCAAACGACACCGCUGGUCCUGCUCACACUGCCCUACCCUGUGCUUUGA
rnacentral:lncRNA from 8 species